CUAGACCAAACGUUGGAAUAUAAUUGCCGUCAUUGAGUCGAAUCCUUUUGUCGUUCUUGUAUAAAUUCUUCAAGUCACAGGUCGUUUCGCUACAUUGAUCAUUUUCACACAAACAUAAAGUCAAAUUCAGAAUUAUACACAAAAUUAUCACGAGAAUUUUCAUGACUGUUCCUUAAUAGAAAUAGCCCUAACUACAGAAGCCCUAAUCUUAUUCACUUACUGUAAAUAUCGAGUACAAAUUUGAAAAGUUCUUGAAAAAGUUACACAGUUGAGUUUGAGUCCGACUAGUCCACGGCCGCUAAGAAUUAUGCCAACAUUUCGUUUAAACUUCGCACAAAACAUAUUGUCUUGUUGUACAAAACGUCCGAGUACAUUUCAUUUCAAAAGCUUCUACUAAUACAGUUUUUAUCAAACGGAAGAAUUCAGGAUGUGAUAUAGUCAAAUGGUAUUGAAUGUAAUUUCAAAUAUUGUUCAACAUACCACUCUUAGUUGACGGCCAUUUUG
rnacentral:lncRNA from 1 species